UCUCAAAAUAUUGGUCGCCUACGACAAACCCUAUUUUUCUUCAUCAAUUUCUUCCCCUUAUUCAAUGUAUCUUUUUCAAUCCUUUCAACGGUCCAUUCAUUCCGCCCAAUGUUCUUCGACGCUUCUGCUUCUACGGGUUUCACGAUUCAAUCCCUUUAAUGUGCAAAGGGAAGAAAUAUUUGGAUCCUUUCGAUAUGACACUUCUAUUUUUUGGUGGAGAGAUUUACAAAGUCCCAGUAGCCGACGUUGAAGCACUGAAGUCACCUUUGACGGGUCUUAUUGUUGAAAUCAAAUUGUUAGAAUUAUAUUAAAAGUAAAUGUCAGAUUUUGUGGCUAUUUUAUUUCAUGUUCAUGUGGAAGAAGACAUCUUGAAUGAACCUCUUUUUUGUCGGCUAUUUUUUCGUUGUUGAACCUCUUUUUUGUUGUUUAUGAUAAAAACGAUGCUGGUAUGUUGCUUCAAUAAAAUGUCGUAAAUGUUGUCAUCGAUAUCAGGGGAGUUCAGCUGCUGGUUCCACACUAGCUGUUGUCAUGUGUUGCAUUUGAAGAUCGUAAUAUCGCUAUGAGUGAUUAUGUUAAUACUAAAGUGAAGUGUGAAGCAUUUGGAGCACUAGAUCUUGAAUGAUAAAGCUAUUUUUAGGAUGAUAUGUAUGUCAGUUUGAGGAAGUUUUGAUUAAGAGGGAAAUUCUAUAGAAGGUCUAAGAAAUCUAAUGGAUUAAAGGAGAUGGCUACUCAAUUUACAAGAUGGCACAACUUGCAAAGGAUUGCACAAAUUGAGAUCCGAAAGGAUGUCCAAGAAUGAGUGUUGUUGUGGUUUCACUUACGAAACUAAAUUAUACUAUUGAUGAUGAAACUAUGAUGCAAUACAGUCGCAUCAACUCCGUUGAGUGUUAAUGGUAUACAUAAGUGCGAAGGAACUGUCCUUGGUACUUCACGAGGUGGACAUGACACCAAUAAUAUUGUGGACAGUAUUCAAGAUCGCAGAAUUAAUGAGGUUUGUGUUUCUUUCUAUUUACCGACAUAGCUUUUAUUUUUCUUUUUAUUUCGUGGUUGCGUGUGCGAGUUUCUACUUUCUAUUAUCACCUUGAUCCUUUCAUUUAUUUAUGAUUCUACAUAAUGUUAACAAUACAGAGACUUUAGAGUCACCUUGGUCUUUUGAUCAAUAUAUACAAGGCUUGGUUUUCUAAUUGUUAAAUUCCUUAAAUUGCAUCAAUGAUGAGAUUUUGGCUGAGGAAUCAGAUUACAGUUUUCCUCUUAAUUACAUAGAGUAUCAGUCGAGCUUUCUGUGAGUCUAUACUGAUAUUUCCUGGAUUAUUGUUGGUGUUUUC